rnacentral:rRNA from 1 species
UGGGGAAUAUUGCACAAUGGAGGGAACUCUGAUGCAGCGAUGCCGCGUGAGGGAAGAAGGUUUUCGGAUUGUAAACCUCUGUCAACAGGGACGAUAAUGACGGUACCUGAGAAGGAAGCUCCGGCUAACUACGUGCCAGCAGCCGCGGUAAUACGUAGGGAGCGAGCGUUGUCCGGAAUUACUGGGUGUAAAGGGAGCGUAGGCGGGACUUUAAGUCAGGUGUGAAAACUAUGGGCUCAACCCAUAGACUGCACUUGAAACUGAGGUUCUUGAGUGAAGUAGAGGCAGGCGGAAUUCCUAGUGUAGCGGUGAAAUGCGUAGAUAUUAGGAGGAACAUCAGUGGCGAAGGCGGCCUGCUGGGCUUUUACUGACGCUGAGGCUCGAAAGCGUGGGGAGCAAACAGGGAUUAGAUACCCUGGGUAGU